rnacentral:rRNA from 1 species
UACGUAGGGGUGCAAGCGUUUGUCCGGAAUUAUUGGGCGUAAAGAGCUCGUAGGCGGUUUGUCGCGUCUGCUGUGAAAACCUAGGGCUUAACCCUGGGCUUGCAGUGGAUACGGGCAGACUAGAGGUAGGUAGGGGGAGAAUGGAAUUCCUGGUGUAGCGGUGAAAUGCGCAGAUAUCAGGAGGAACACCGGUGGCGAAGGCGGUUCUCUGGGCCUUACCUGACACUGAGGAGCGAAAGCGUGGGGAGCGAACAGG